rnacentral:tRNA from 1 species
AUGGCUUAGCUCAGUCUGGUAGAGCAGUAGUUUUGUAAACUAUUGAUCGGGGCUUCGAGUCCCUCAGGCGGCACCA